AAGCUUUAUGUGCUGAAAGAUGGCCUCGCGUCUGAUUAGCUAGUUGGUGAGGUAACGGCUCACCAAGGCGACGAUCAGUAGCCGGUCUGAGAGGAUGAACGGCCACAUUGGGACUGAGAUACGGCCCAGACUCCUACGGGAGGCAGCAGUGGGGAAUAUUGGGCAAUGGGGGAAACCCUGACCCAGCAACGCCGCGUGAAGGAAGAAGGCCCUCGGGUUGUAAACUUCUUUUACCAGGGACGAAGAACGUGACGGUACCUGGAGAAAAAGCCACGGCUAACUACGUGCCAGCAGCCGCGGUAAUACGUAGGUGGCAAGCGUUGUCCGGAUUUACUGGGUGUAAAGGGCGUGUAGGCGGAGAUGCAAGUCAGGAGUGAAAUCCCGGGGCUCAACCCCGGAACUGCUUUUGAAACUGUAUCCCUUGAGUGUCGGAGAGGCAAGCGGAAUUCCUAGUGUAGCGGUGAAAUGCGUAGAUAUUAGGAGGAACACCAGUGGCGAAGGCGGCUUGCUGGACGAUAACUGACGCUGAGGCGCGAAAGCGUGGGGAGCAAACAGGAUUAGAUACCCUGGUAGUCCACGCUGUAAACGAUGAAUACUAGGUGUGGGAGGACUGACCCCUUCCGUGCCGCAGUUAACACAAUAAGUAUUCCACCUGGGGAGUACGACCGCAAGGUUGAAACUCAAAGGAAUUGACGGAGGCCCGCACAAGCAGUGGAUUAUGUGGUUUAAUUCGACGCAACGCGAAGAACCUUACCAGGAUUUGACAUCCAACUAACGAAGUAGAGAUACAUUAGGUGCCCUUCGGGGAAAGUUGAGACAGGUGGUGCAUGGUUGUCGUCAGCUCGUGUCGUGAGAUGUUGGGUUAAGUCCCGCAACGAGCGCAACCCCUAUUGUUAGUUGCUACGCAAGAGCACUCUAGCGAGACUGCCGUUGACAAAACGGAGGAAGGCGGGGACGACGUCAAAUCAUCAUGCCCCUUAUGUCCUGGGCUACACACGUAAUACAAUGGUGGUAAACAGAGGGAAGCAAAACUGCGAAGUGGAGCAAAUCCCUAAAAGCCAUCUCAGUUCGGAUUGCAGGCUGCAUUUCGC
rnacentral:rRNA from 1 species